AUUCAAUUAGUUUAAUUAAAAAAAAUAUUAAAUUGUGGAUUUAAAGAUAUAUUAUAAUAUUGAAUA
rnacentral:tRNA from 1 species